rfam:Oryza sativa (indica cultivar-group) chromosome 5, whole genome shotgun sequence.
AAUAAGUACGGUCAUAAGUUUCAGCGCUCAACUUUGAUCGUUCGUUUUAUUUAAAAAAAUUUUAUAAUUAACAUUUUUGUUGUUAUAAGAUAAUAAAACAUAAAUAGUACUUUACUCGUGACUUAUGUUUUUAAUUUUUUUUAAAAAAAAAUUAAAUAAGACGAACGGUCAAAGUUAGGCGCGGAAAACUAUGGCUGCACUUAUU